rnacentral:lncRNA from 1 species
UCCUAACUUACUCUGUGGGAGUUAGUAAUGUAAUCAUCAUGCUGAAACAGAGCCAGUGUUGCUCCUGUCUCUUCUCUAGAGCAUCACAGAGUGCACAGUCCCAGUGACAUGCUCAGCGAAACCCCUGAUGAUGUCAGUGGUGACAGGAAACCUUCCCUCCAAGGCUCUGAACCAUCUACAUGCUGAAGCACAUGCUUGGCCUGAAGCAAACUGACCAGAGAGUGGCUUGGUCCAAGCCCAGGUACCUAAAAGAAGUCCCAGAAGGUGUGAUGGAAAAGUAUGUUUAUCAGACAUGAUAUAGCUGAGUGAAUAAAAUGAACGGUCCUCUACUCAUCAAAUACAAAUUCAUCAAGGAAACUUUAAGUUUACCUUGUUCAACAAUUUUGCAGAUGGGGAUUAUUGCCUUGGGUGAGUAAUUCCUCCAUAUUUUGUCGUGUCUGUUCAUCUGCAUGGAGCCCCUUGACACAAAAUUUGAGUUCCUGCAGCUGCCUCAGCCCUGCUUUUCUGUACAAAACAGGGUCUCUGCUGCAGUUUCACUCUAAAACUUAUUCUAACUAAAUCUGUCACUUAUUUAGGCACAUUCUGGAUUUUUAAGGAGGAGAAGGAAAAUACAUGUGUGCAAAGUGGGACUUUGACAUUCUUCAAAAUUUCAAGAGUCUUUUCAGGAAUCCCAGUCAGAAAACUUCAUUAUGUGAAGAUGAAAAGAGGGGGGUUUUCAUCCCAAAUUCUGUUCCCCUAUGAGGCAAUAGCUCAGGUUUCCUUCUGUUCUGGAAAAAAUACCACAAAGAUGAUCUCAUGGGUAUCACAGCUUUUCAGCUUUCUCCAGAAUAUGGUUGACUGGACAGUAAGUGGACAUUUCCAUGAUUAAAUUCCUUUCAGAAUUGGGAAACUGAUAUUCAUUCACAUUCAAGGCUUCUGAAUCUGAUUGUGUGUCAUCUGGCCAUUUAAUUACUCAAUAAGCAGUGCUGGCCAAGGAAUGUAAACUGAAAUUGUUGUAAAUUAGCUCUGGUAUGACACAGUCCCUAUAAUUGAUGUUGCUCUUGCACAAACUUUCUCACAGCUUUUUGGUAUUGAAUUAAUUCUGGUUUUCAUAUUAGUAGCCAGGUAAUAUUUGGUAGUGCAAGAUCUCUUAGCUGUAUUGGGGUAUUUUUUGUUGUAGUGGGGAGGACAUGCUGUACUUCAAAGUGAGUUUAAUUCAGCUGCUACAUAGGCAGUGGCUUGCCAGAAUGAAAGCUAUUUUUGUGGCUGGAACAAAAGAAAAGCAAUUGAGAUUUCGUGGAAAACUGUUUGGAUGCUGCUGCAGCUGAGAGGCUGAAGCGUCUGUCUCUGCAGGACUCCUUCUGGACGUCCCUUCUGGUUACACAUGUGCCUAAAGUAUUCUGUGGAACUGAGCCCUCAAAGCAAGCAGAAACACCCACACACUUCCACAGACUAUCCAGGGACACAAACACUUUCCAAAAUUCCCCCAGAAAAACUGUCCUUGUCUUUGCCCUGCUGAGAGGCUCAACCUCAGCAGCAAAGACAGCUCUGCCCAGAUCACCCAGCACUGCUGGUGUGGGAGGAACAGAUCCCCUGCAUCUCUCAGGGAGCAGCUGAGGUGCUGGGUUUUCCUCUGGUUGCAGAAUAUCCCUCCUCAUGCAACUGAAGGAUUUCUGGAUUCUUGUUUUAUUAGUGUUUUUCCAGCCAGAAUCUGCAGCCAUCUCAUCCCAAACCAGCUGCAUACAGCCAGAGCAAUGCAAGGGUAUACUUAGAGGGUAUAAUCUUUUUUUUAAAGCAGGAAUAAAUGUUAGUCUUCUCUGAGCUAGGAGAAAUAU